GCUUCCAUAGCAUAGUGGUAGUGCGCUCGCUUCGUAAGCGAGAGGUCGUGAGUUCAAUCCUCAUUGGGAGCA
rfam:Selaginella moellendorffii unplaced genomic scaffold SELMOscaffold_113, whole genome shotgun sequence.